AGUGAACGCUGGCGGUAGGCCUAACACAUGCAAGUCGAACGGCAGCACAGUAAGAGCUUGCUCUUACGGGUGGCGAGUGGCGGACGGGUGAGGAAUACAUCGGAAUCUACUUUUUCGUGGGGGAUAACGUAGGGAAACUUACGCUAAUACCGCAUACGACCUACGGGUGAAAGCAGGGGAUCUUCGGACCUUGCGCGAUUGAAUGAGCCGAUGUCGGAUUAGCUAGUUGGCGGGGUAAAGGCCCACCAAGGCGACGAUCCGUAGCUGGUCUGAGAGGAUGAGCAGCGACAGUGGGAGUGAGACACGGUACGGACGCCUACGGGAGGCAGCAGUGGGGAAUAUUGGACAAUGGGCGCAAGCCUGAUCCAGCCAUACCGCGUGGGUGCAGAAGGCCUUCGGGUUGUAAAGCCCUUUUGUUGGGAAAGAAAAGCAGCAGGUGAAUACCCCGCUGUUCUGACGGUACCCAAAGAAUAAGCACCGGCUAACUUCGUG
rnacentral:rRNA from 1 species